rnacentral:rRNA from 1 species
CCUACGGGUGGCAGCAGUGGGGACUAUUGCACAAUGGGGGAAACCCUGAUGCAGCCACGCCGCGUGAGGGAAGAAGUAUUUCGGUAUGUAAAGCUCUAUCAGCAGGGAAGAAAAUGACGGUACCUGAUUAAGAAGCCCCGGCUAACUACGUGCCAGCAGCCGCGGUAAUACGGAGGCGGCACGCGUUAUCCGGAUUUACUGGGGGUAAAGGGAGCGUAGACGGGAGCAAAAGUCUGGAGUGAAAUGCCGGGGCUUAACCCCGGAACUGCUUUUGAAACUGGGCAGCUAGAGUGCAGGAGAGGUAAGGGGAAUUCGUAGUGUAGCGGUGAAAUGCGUAGAUAUUAGGAGGAACACUCGUGGCGAAGGCGGGUUCCUGGA